UAAGUGAAGAAGGGCGCACGGCGGAUGCCUUGGCACUAGGAGCCGAUGAAGGACGGGACAAACACCG
rnacentral:rRNA from 1 species